rnacentral:misc_RNA from 1 species
CCGGCUUUUACGUGCCUUCUAAUUGGGCCGCCUUGCCUCUUGGGAAAGAUCGAACGAUCGCACGAUCGGCCCUCGUUAACCCCUAACGCUCUCCGUGCACGCCACGGUUCCUUCUUUUCCGCUCCCUCUUCUUCCCCUUCCCUCGUCCCUUUUGACUAUCGAAAUCUGGAUCAGGGGACGACCGACGCGUCUCCUCGUCGAGUCGAUUCUUCACUCGUCGAUCGCUCCUUACGGGAUGAUCCCCGUGCCACGGAUUGGAACUUGAUCUUGCGUGGGUUUUGGACUUGUUGACGGUC